rnacentral:misc_RNA from 1 species
GUCAAUUUUGUAUGAAUAUUACUUUGUCAAACACAACAAGCGCAAAUGUUGUCGUGCGGGCAGAGUGGAGUGGUUUCCCACACCCGCUCCAACCCACACGGCGACUGAUUUGUAAUGAUCCUUCCGCAGGUUCACCUACGGAAA